CAGUAGCCGCGGGAAUACGAAGGGUGCAAGCGUUAAUCGGAAUUACUGGGCGUAAAGCGUGCGUAGGCGGUGAGUUAAGUCUGCUGUGAAAGCCCUGGGCUCAACCUGGGAACUGCAGUGGAAACUGGCCAGCUAGAGUGUGUCAGAGGAUGGUGGAAUUCCGAGUGUAGAGGUGAAAUUCGUAGAUAUUCGGAAGAACACCAGUGGCGAAGGCGGCUUACUGGCUCAUACUGGACGCUGAGGUGCGAAAGCGUGGGGAGCAAACAGGAUUAGAUACCCCUGUAGUCCCUGUCUCUUAUAA
rnacentral:rRNA from 1 species